rnacentral:rRNA from 1 species
AGCGUAGACGGCAAUGCAAGUCUGGAGUGAAAACCCACAGCUCAACUGUGGGAUUGCUUUGGAAACUGUAUAGCUAGAGUGCAGGAGAGGUAAGUGGAAUUCCUAGUGUAGCGGUGAAAUGCGUAGAUAUUAGGAGGAACACCAGUGGCGAAGGCGGCUUACUGGACUGUAACUGACGUUGAGGCUCGAAAGCGUGGGGAGCAAACA